rnacentral:rRNA from 1 species
CGAAUGGGGAAACCCACUAUAUUGAAGAUAUAGUAUCCGAAAGGAAGCGAACCCGGAGAACUGAAACAUCUAAGUACCCGGAGGAGAAGAAAACAAAAGUGAUUCCGAUAGUAGUGGCGAGCGAAAUCGGAUUAGUCCAAACCAAAGUUGUUACGGCAAUUUUGGGGUUGUAGGACCACGUUAUUGAAUGUUUUAUGAAUUAGAAUUCUUUGGAAAAAGAAACCAUAGAGGGUGAUAGUCCCGUAUAAGUAAAGACAAUUAUUCAUAGUGGUAUCCUGAGUAGUGCGGGACACGAGUAAUCCUGUAUGAAUCAAGCGGGACCAUCCGCUAAGACUAAAUACUCC